UGGACAUUUAUUUUUAUUCAGUUUCUUCUCAAGGUGAAGGUAACUGUUUGUAAAUGUCCUAAAGAAACAUGAUAGCUUUCUGUUCACCCUUUGCAAGAAAAAAGCGUGGAUCAUUUCACCGCUGACAUUU
ensembl:scaRNA